AGUCGGCCUGCGCGGAAGAUGUAACGGGGCUAAACCAUGCACCGAAGCUGCGGCAGCGACACUAUGUGUUGUUGGGUAGGGGAGCGUUCUGUAAGCCUGAGAAGGUGACCUGUGAGGGUUGCUGCAGGUAUCACAAGUGCGAAUGCGCACAUACGUAUCGAUCAAGCGAGUGAAAAGCCCGCUCGCCGGAAGACCAAGGGGUCCUGUCCAACGUUAAGCGGGGCAGGGUGAGUCGAUCCCUAAGCCGAGACCGAAAGGCGAAGGCGAUGGGUAACAGGUUAAUAUUCCUGUACUUGGUGUUACUGCGAAGGAGGGACG
rnacentral:rRNA from 1 species